rnacentral:rRNA from 1 species
GUGGGGUGCGAGCGUUAAUCGGAAUUACUGGGCGUAAAGCGUGCGCAGGCGGUUUUGUAAGACAGGCGUGAAAUCCCCGGGCUCAACCUGGGAACUGCGCUUGUGACUGCAAGGCUAGAGUACGGCAGAGGGGGGUGGAAUUCCACGUGUAGCAGUGAAAUGCGUAGAGAUGUGGAGGAACACCAAUGGCGAAGGCAGCCCCCUGGGUCGAUACUGACGCUCAUGCACGAAAGCGUGGGUAGCAAACAGGAUUAGAUACCCUGGUAGUCCACGCCCUAAACGAUGUCAACUAGGUGUUGGGUGGGUAAAACCAUUUAGUACCGGAGCUAACGCGUGAAGUUGACCGCCUGGGGAGUACGGCCGCAAGGUUA